UCAUGUUCAUUUUGAGACCAAGAUCAUGAAGCGCAACCACAUGAAGCCACGUGAGUUUGAGUCCAGCUUUUCUGGAGCUGGAGAUGAACUCGGACCUCAAGCCUCAGCUCAGGGAACUGAAUAUAACAACAACCAAGGAAAUUGAAAUUGUUGAUAGUUGGAAAGUUAUUAUAAUCUUUGUUCCCAUUCCUAAACUGAAAUCUUUCCAGAAAAUCCAAGUCUGGCUAUUACAUGAAUUGAGAAGAAGUUCAGUGGGAAACAUGUUGUCUUUGUUGCUCAGAGGAGAAUUCUGUCUAAGCCAACUCGAAAAAGCCACACAAAAAAUAAGCAAAAGCUCCCAGGA
rnacentral:lncRNA from 1 species